GCACUUUGAUUUCUCGUAAGGUGCCGAACGAGUCAAGUAAUAACAUCGUCCGAUCCCUAGUCGGCAUAGUUUAUGGUUAAGACUACGACGGUAUCUGAUCGUCUUCGAUCCCCUAACUUUCGUUCCUGAUUAAUGAAAACAUCCUUGGCAAAUGCUUUCGCAGUAGUUAGUCUUCAAUUGAUCCAAGAAUUUCACCUCUGACAAUUGAAUACUGAUGCCCCCGACUGUCCCUAUUAAUCAUUACGGCGGUCCUAGAAACCAACAAAAUAGAACCGCGCGUCCUAUUUCAUUAUUCCAUGCUAAUGUAUUCGAGCAUAGGCCUGCCUGGAGCACUCUAAUUUUUUCAAAGUAAAAGUCCCGUUUCCCCGCCACGCCCAGUGAAGGGCAUGGGGUUCCGCGGAGGGAAAGGCCCGGCCGGACCAGUGCACGCGGUGAGGCGGACCGGCCAGCCAGGCCCAAGGUUCAACUACGAGCUUUUUAACCACAACAACUUUAAUAUACGCUAUUGGAGCUGGAAUUACCGCGGCUGCUGGCACCAGACUUGCCCUCCAAUUGUUCCUCGUUAAGGGAUUUAAAUUGUACUCAUUCCAAUUACAAGACCCAAAAGAGCCCUGUAUCAGUAUUUAUUGUCACUACCUCCCCGUGUCGGGAUUGGGUAAUUUGCGCGCCUGCUGCCUUCCUUGGAUGUAGUAGCCGUUUCUCAGGCUCCUUCUCCGGGGUCGAGCCCUAACCCUCCGUUACCCGUUGCAGCCAUGUUUGGCCACUACCCAAACAUCGAAAGCUGAUAGGGAAGAAAUUUGAAUGAACCAUCGCCGGCGCAAGGCCGUGCGAUUCGAAGAGUUAUCAUGAAUCACCAGAGAGCCCAGAGGGCAUUGGUUUUUAAUCUAAUAAAUACACCCCUUCCGAAGUCGGGGUUUUCAGCAUGUAUUAGCUCUAGAAUUACCACGGUUAUCCAAGUAGUAAGGUGCUAUCAAAUAAACGAUAACUUAUAUAAUGAGCCAUUCGCAG
rnacentral:rRNA from 1 species